UACGCAGGUGGCGAGCGUUGCCCGGAAUCACUGGGCGUAAAGGGUGCGUAGGCGGCAGGGUAAGUCGCAGGUUAAAGCCCGGGGCUCAACCCCGGAAAGGCCUGCGAUACUGCCUUGCUUGAGGGCCGGAGAGGCUGGCGGAAUUCCCGGUGUAGGGGUGAAAUCCGUAGAUAUCGGGAGGAACACCGGUGGGGAAGCCGGCCAGCUGGACGGUCCCUGACGCUGAGGCACGAAAGCGUGGGGAGCAAACCGG
rnacentral:rRNA from 1 species